ensembl:miRNA gga-mir-1552 gga-mir-1552
UCUACAUGGGGAGGUUAGUGCGCGGUAAGCUAGGGUGUGAGCUGACAGCACGCUAGCUGCUCUGCACUGACUGCCCCUGUGGA